rnacentral:rRNA from 1 species
UACAGAGGGGGCUAGCGUUAUUCGGAAUUAUUGGGCGUAAAGGGCGCGUAGGCGGCCACACAGGUCCGUUGUGAAAACUCGAGGCUUAACCUCGAGACGUCGAUGGAAACCGUAUGGCUAGAGUCCGGAAGAGGAGAGUGGAAUUCCUGGUGUAGCGGUGAAAUGCGCAGAUAUCAGGAAGAACACCCGUGGCUAAGGCGGCUCUCUAGUACGGUACUGACGCUGAGACGCGAAAGCGUGGGGAGCGAACAGG